rnacentral:ncRNA from 1 species
UUGAUGUUAUCUUGAGUUUUUUUAUUUUUUUACUUUGGUUUUUAGGGUGAAAUUGAAGAACUUUUUGGAGUAGACUUGAGAUUUUAAAAUUUGUUGAACAAGCCAGAUUAGUACCUGGUUAGACAAAAGUUAAAAGAGCAGAAGUAGAGUUGUGCUUAAACUGUAAGAAUAUUGGCAGGCUAUUAAAUUAUUUUUGGAGGCUGAGUAGUAAUUGAGAGCCCUCAUUUACGACUUUUAAUUUAGGCGCAUGUAUGAUCGUUUAUUUUAUUCUUAAGGAUUGUAAUUUUAGUUAUUUUUCUGUAAAAAUAGAUAUAUACUUGGCUUAUUUAGAAGAUUUAAUUUGGCCUACAUUAAACUAGUAUUUGGAUGGUUUCUGUAGUGGAGAUCUGAAAUUGUAAAAAACAGUAAGUUUUUCUUAAUGUAAAACUGAAGUUUAUUUAAUGGCGGUACAAAUCAUCCAUCAAUUGCCUAAAGGGGAGUAAG